GACGAACGCUGGCGGCGUGCUUAACACAUGCAAGUCGAACGAAGAGCGACGGAAGCUUGCUUCUGUCAAUCUUAGUGGCGAACGGGUGAGUAACGCGUAAUCAACCUGCCCUUCAGGGGGGGACACCAGUUGGAAACGACUGCUAAUACCGCAUACGCCCUAACCUCGGCAUCGAGGGUAGAUGAAAGGUGGCCGCUACAGGUCAGCUAUCACUGAAGGAGGGGAUUGCGUCUGUGUAGUUAGUUGGAGGGGUAACGGACCUCCUAGGCGAUGGUCAGUGGCAGGUCGGAGAGGAUGAGCGGCCGCAUUGGGACUGAGACACGGCCCAGACGCCUACGGGAGGCAGCAGGGGGGAAACGUGCGCAAGGGGCGAAAGACUGACGGAGCAACGCCGCGGGCGGGAUGACGGCCGUCGGGUUGUAAAGCUCUGUUAAUCGGGACGAAAGGCCUUCUUGCGAAUAGUGAGAAGGAUUGACGGUACCGGAAAAGAAAGCCACGGCUAACUACGUG
rnacentral:rRNA from 1 species